rnacentral:sRNA from 1 species
ACUGUGCGCGGUGGCACACGCCUGUAAUCCCAGCCUCUCGGGAGGCUGAGACAGGAGGAUCACGAGUUCAAAGCAAACCUCAGCAAAGGCGAGGCUGAGCAACUCAGUGAGACCCUGUCUCUA